UACGUAGGGGGCAAGCGUUGUCCGGAAUCAUUGGGCGUAAAGCGCGCGCAGGCGGCUCGUCAAGUCUGGCGUGAAAGCCCCCGGCUCAACCGGGGAGGGUCGUCGGAGACUGGCGAGCUUGAGGGCGGUAGGGGCUGGUGGAAUUCCCGGUGUAGUGGUGAAAUGCGUAGAGAUCGGGAGGAACACCCGUGGCGAAGGCGGCCAGCUGGGCCGUCCCUGACGCUGAGGCGCGAAGGCGUGGGGAGCGAACAGG
rnacentral:rRNA from 1 species